GAGUUUGAUCUUGGCUCAGGAUGAACGCUGGCGGCGUGCCUAACACAUGCAAGUCGAGCGAAGCACUUUGCUUUGAUUCUUUCGGGAGGAGAAGUGAUUUGACUGAGCGGCGGACGGGUGAGUAACGCGUGGGUAACCUGCCUCAUACAGGGGGAUAACAGUUAGAAAUGACUGCUAAUACCGCAUAAGCGCACAGGACCGCAUGGUCCGGUGUGAAAAAACUCCGGUGGUAUGAGAUGGACCCGCGUCUGAUUAGUUAGUUGGCGGGUAACGGCCACCAAGGCGACGAUCAGUAGCCGGCCUGAGAGGGUGAACGGCCACGAUUGGGACUGAGACACGGCCCAGACUCCUACGGGAGCAGCAGUGGGGAAUAUUGCACAAUGGGGGAACCCUGAUGCAGCGACG
rnacentral:rRNA from 1 species